AUUGGAGGGCAAGUCUGGUGCCAGCAGCCGCGGUAAUUCCAGCUCCAAUAGCGUAUAUUAAAGUUGUUGCAGUUAAAAAGCUCGUAGUUGAACUUUGGGCCCGGUUGGCCGGUCCGAUUUUUUCGUGUACUGGAUUUCCAACGGGGCCUUUCCUUCUGGCUAACCUUGAGUCCUUGUGGCUCUUGGCGAACCAGGACUUUUACUUUGAAAAAAUUAGAGUGUUCAAAGCAGGCGUAUUGCUCGAAUAUAUUAGCAUGGAAUAAUAGAAUAGGACGUUUGGUUCUAUUUUGUUGGUUUCUAGGACCAUCGUAAUGAUUAAUAGGGACGGUCGGGGGCAUCAGUAUUCAAUUGUCAGAGGUGAAAUUCUUGGAUUUAUUGAAGACUAACUACUGCGAAAGCAUUUGCCAAGGACGUUUUCAUUAAUCAAGAACGAAAGUUAGGGGAUCGAAGAUGAUCAGAUACCGUCGUAGUCUUAACCAUAAACUAUGCCGACUAGGGAUCGG
rnacentral:rRNA from 1 species